AAGAGACAGCAGUAGCCGCGGUAAUACGAAGGGUGCAAGCGUUACUCGGAAUUACUGGGCGUAAAGCGUGCGUAGGUGGUGGUUUAAGUCCGUUGUGAAAGCCCUGGGCUCAACCUGGGAAUUGCAGUGGAUACUGGGUCACUAGAGUGUGGUAGAGGAUAGUGGAAUUUCCGGUGUAGCAGUGAAAUGCGUAGAGAUCGGAAGGAACAUCUGUGGCGAAGGCGACUAUCUGGGCCAACACUGACACUGAGGCACGAAAGCGUGGGGAGCAAACAGGAUUAGAUACCCCAGUAGUCCCUGUCUCUUAUAC
rnacentral:rRNA from 1 species